AUAGGCUCCAGGCUCUCCUGCGACCCUGAAAAGGAGUAAGCGUUUGAAGAUGGAUGGAUGGAUGGAUAAUGUGAAUCAUUUGACCAUACAUAAAGAAAUAGAUCUGCAUUUUGGGAAGAGAUGAUGCCUGAGUAUUUCUCCAACAGCAUUUAAAUAUUGCCAUGACAUUAUAUAAGAAAGACCUAAACGCACAAUAAUCCAACUUUGACACAUUUUCAGCAUAGACAUUUCAAACCAGAGCACUUAAAGUAUUUCACAUCUAAUUCAGUACAUAAUAUACAAAAAGACACAUGUAUAACCAAAUAGCUAUAGUAAACUUCCCAAAACUCAUACAUAACAAUACCAUGUUUCAAUUCAUGAGGAUACUACAACAAUGGAUAUAUUUCAUAACAUUAAGUGGUACAUGUGUGAAUGUGUGAACUACACAUGGAGUUUAACAGGAGCAUGUAAACUAUCUAAGAAAAUAUAAGGUGAAGAUGUGAGCCUCUAAGAACUCAGCAGACAGCAAAGGCCCAUAAGAUUUAUGAUGUAUCCAGCAACCAUGGACCCAUACACCACCUCAGAUCUCAGUUUAGAAACAAAUCAAAUGGACAAUAAAUUAAGGCAUAAAACUCAAUGUUCUAAAUGCUUCUUCAUAAGGUCUCUUUGGGAACAUUUUCCAUGUGGGCAGCGCAACAAACAAUAACUGGAUCCAGUAAACAAUCUAAGAAAGAAUAUGAGAAGUCGACAUCAAUUAUGUGUGUGGCCAGGGUCAAGCUGACUGGAUUGGAGUGAUCAGUCAUGUAACUCCAUUAUUUAAACAAUUUCCAUCUUACUUUCCACAAUCCUUAACUUGCGGGCACACUCCUAAAUGAAAGCACAUUCACAACUCAUCUUAGACUCAUACCUGCACUCAGAUCUCACAGCAUUUCCUUAUUCCUCUAUGAAUAAUUGAACAGUGUCUGUGUGCAUUCUCCUGAACCAAUGUGCUGUUCUUUGUCUAAAACAACCUAAGAGUGAGUUGGGAAUAUCAUCCUUCCUGUGGAGUAGCUGUGGCAGGAGACUGACGAUCCGACACUGAGACAGUGGAGGUGUGUGAUGGGGACGCUGGGCUGAUGUGUGGGAUGGAGGGUGUGAAGUGGAUUGUCGACUUCAAUCGGCAUCAUAUCAACAUCUCGAUUCCCCCCUGAGCCCGGCGGAGCCGAGACAAGUUAAGCAGUGGCAGAGAAAGGAGUAAUGAAUUGGGUGGGCUUCUCUUCUGUCACAAACAGUGACUCAGAUGAUAUGUGGGAGCAAUAAAAGGAUUACUCAAAGCAGAAACUCCCUCUGUGCCUGCAAACCAUUCAGACAAGUUGCUCCCAAACUUUAGAAUUCUAACCUCAAGUCCAUACAUGUAAUUAUAACCCUGUCUUUUUUCAUACAAUACCAUAACUCUCAUUCCAAGAGAUCGCCCCUCCACCAUCAUUAGAAAUCAGAUAACCAUCAUUAUUUAAUCAUCUUGUCAUGUAUAAUGUUCAGGCUAAAAUUCUAGUAGAAAUGUCUGUGAUCUUGUAUAAGUAUUCAAUCUUUAUGUAUUAACAAAUAAAAAAAGUUUAUUUCCUUUCAAUUAGCCAAACAUUAUACAUAGAUUUUCAAAACGUAUAUUCUCUGUUGUUUAAGCUCCUGCUCCUGUAUUUGAUGUGUUGCACAUUUUCCAAUUUCCAGUACACACAUUUACACAAACCCUCCUAAGAAAAGGCAAGCGGUCUCCCAGUGUUCCAUGUGGCUAAUUUCCCAUAAUCACUUGUGGGCUAGACUGGCACCGCAGUGGCUCAUCGCACGGCUUCAAUAGAGCAUAAUCCAGCCUGCCGUUCCACACAGCCCGCCAACACGACGCAUCAGACGCAUCAGCUGGCAUCCCGCCUCACCCUCCGCCUGGCAUCUCCAGAAUUUCUGUCCAUAUGAUUGAGAAGGAGUGUGUCAGUGCGUGCGUGUGUGUGUGAAUAUAGCAAAGUGAGAUCAAAAAUAGAAAAGCCAUGCCUUCUGCAGAAUAAGCAAUUGAGUUUUUGGCUUAGAUCAUGCAUUUGCUCAGAAAAGCCGACUGCCAGCUGAGUCCAUGCUGAGAUGAAAUAUGUGUGU
ensembl:lncRNA